rnacentral:lncRNA from 1 species
UUUUGAACGCAAAUAACUCCACGAAACUUUGUGAUGAUUGGAGUAAGAGGAGGGAUCUCGACUUUUCGAGAUAUUCGGACAACUUUCACUUUGUAGAUCAUGAAAGUAAAAGAAGUAUCCAACAUGAACCAUUACAUUAUAAUUAGAUGACGAACAUAGUAGGUAUCAUGGAAACCAACUUAUAGGUAACCAAAUCCCUUAACUCCUUAAAUAUAAAAUUAUUUUAUAAUAUUUUUUACUAUAACAAUGCACAUUAAUUAUGAGUCUGGCCACCAUCAGUCUCAAUGACAGCCUCACCCCGCCUCCGGAACCCCUUGCCACACAGGGGCAACGUAGUUCUUUUUCAUGAUCCUCUACUGCUGAUUAACAGAGGUCUUUAGUGCAUCAAUAUUCGGAUGGCGGACUUUGUAGCCCUUCUUCUCAUCUUUACACCAAGUCUGGACCGAGUCUCAACACUAGUAAUUACCUAAUCCACGAAUCAUCCAGAGUAAUUUUAUAAUAUAAGAUAUGUUGAAAAUGAAAUUUAGCAUCUUUUUGUAUACAAUAAUUAUCCCUUUUAAACUAUCUAAAAGAAAACUAUCACCAUGAAACCAAUUGGAGAUAAAGAAAUAUACUUCAAUUAUUAUUA